ACAAUCUUUAUUAACAACGAGGGAAAAAAAGUGACAAUGUCCUGAGGGAGGGGUGUGUGAGGGGAAGACUGAGAGAGAUGUCCUGUCAGUGGGGUCUCCUCAUGUGAUGAUGAUGAAGAUGGAUCAGAACAAUAGAUGUUAUCUGCGCCAAUUCUCCAGGAAGAGGUCGUGUUAUUGGGGCUACAGGAAAUACGUUCUGGACAGGAAGAGAAUCCCUCGCUUCUUCCAGCACGCUGUCGCUGCUAAUGAGAACCGACACAAGAAAGAAUGUCAGAGAGGCAAUUAAGGCACAACAAGGUAUUCCAGCGGUAAUUAUGGCUGAAUUAUUUACAAAUGAUGAAAACAUUUCGGGGGUCCAGGCGAUAACUUACAAGAGUCGAGGAUGUCACCGCACUCCUCUCGCCUGGAG